rnacentral:rRNA from 1 species
GGCGUAAGCGCACGCAGGCGGUCUGUCUAGUCGGAUGUGAAAUCCCCGGGCUCAACCUGGGAACUGCAUUCGAAACUGGCAGGCUAGAGUCUUGUAGAGGGGGGUAGAAUUCCAGGUGUAGCGGUGAAAUGCGUAGAGAUCUGGAGGAAUACCGGUGGCGAAGGCGGCCCCCUGGACUAAGACUGACGCUCAGGUGCGAAAGCGUGGGGAGCAAACAGGAUUAGAUACCCUGGUAGUCCACGCCGUAAACGAUGUCUACUUGGAGGUUGUGCCCUUGAGGCGUGGCUUCCGGAGCUAACGCGUUAAGUCGACCGCCUGGGGAGUACGGCCGCAAGGAUAAAACUCAAAUGAAUUGACGGGGGCCCGCACAAGCGGUGGAGCAUGUGGUUUAAUUCGAUGCAACGCGAAGAACCUUACCUACUCUUGACAUCCAUAGAACUUUGCAGAGAUGGAUUGGUGCCUUCGGGAACUCUGAUACAGGUGCUGCAUGGCUGUCGUCAGCUCGUGUUGUGAAAUGUUGGGUUAAGUCCCGCAACGAGCGCAACCCUUAUCCUUUGUUGCCAGCGG